UACGAAGGGGGCUAGCGUUGCUCGGAUUGACUGGGCGUAAAGGGCGCGUAGGCGGUUCGUACAGUCAGACGUGAAAUUCCUGGGCUCAACCUGGGGGCUGCGUUUGAUACGUGCGGACUUGAGUGCGGAAGAGGGUCGUGGAAUUCCCAGUGUAGAGGUGAAAUUCGUAGAUAUUGGGAAGAACACCGGUGGCGAAGGCGACCAUCUGGACGACAACUGACGCUGAGGCGCGAAAGCGUGGGGAGCAAACAGG
rnacentral:rRNA from 1 species